rnacentral:rRNA from 1 species
GGGUAAUUUUUAUUCGCUCUACUUUUUCCGAGAUCACUUACUUUUAAAUAAAAAAUUUACGAAACUAAAACCGUAAGGGCAGAUAGAUCCACUCUUACCUUCCUACCUCUGGUAUCAGGGAUGUUUAAAUUCUCCUUAGCAAGAUAUCCCGAAAGAUUCAGAGCUGAUCAGAAACUUUAUUUAUGUGGAAAAAUGAUUUAUAAUUCUGCCUCAGAAGCGACACGUUACUCACUUAAUCUCUACCUGGUUAGGUUUACAAUUAUACAAUAAUUACUUCUCCUUUACCUCAAGAGUUGCUUUAGUUCCGCGGGGAUAACCUCUCGGUCCUUCGUAAAAUCGACUUAAUCGCUUACGGACUAACCCCCUCUUAACGAAUUCAUUUCUUUUCGAAAUCAAAAACCUUAUUACAAUCUUUCUCAAUUUUAAACAAUAAACUUAUUAGUACCUUCAAUUACAACCUCUUAGAAAUUAAUAUUUUUCCCCUUAGAGAGAGCGUCAAAGAACUCGGCAAACCUGUCUUCGCCUGUUUAACAAAAACACCGCCGUGAAACUACUCACGGUCUGUCUGCCCAGUGAUAUAUAAACGGCCGCAGUAUCCUGACUGUGCUAAGGUAGCGUAAUAAUUAGUUUUUUCAUUGGAAACUCGUAUGAAUGACCCGACGAAAGACUCCCUGUCUCGCCGCUCCUUGGUAACUUACUAGCAGAGUAAAAAAGCUCUUACAAUCUAAGAGGACGACAAGACCCUAUAAAACUUUACCCUUCAAACGAUCUACUUAAACCUCAACGGUAUCUAGGGUUUUACUGGGGCGGUAUAAUUUAUUCCAAACAAAAUCCACCUAAACGUAAUCAACGAUCUUUCUAAACACUACUUAGUAAUAAAGAACAAGUUACUUUAGGGAUAACAGCGCAAUAUCUCUUUAGAGUUCUUAUCGACAGAGAUGAUUACGACCUCGAUGUUGAAUUGAAGACCCUUGGUGGGGCAGCUUUUACCUAAGGAAGUCUGUUCGACUUUUAAACCUUCACAUGAUUUGAGUUCAGACCGGUGUGAGCCAGGUUAGUUUCUAUCCUUUAGAAGUUUCGGCAAGAUAUUGUACGAAAGGACUUAUCUUUCUAGAAAAUCUACCACUUUUGAGUAAUACUAAUUCUAAUUAUGA